rnacentral:rRNA from 1 species
GACGAACGCUGGCGGCGUGCCUAACACAUGCAAGUCGAACGGAGAUACGAUUUCGGUUGUAUCUUAGUGGCGAACGGGUGAGUAACGCGUGAGCAACCUGACCUUUAGAGGGGGAUAACACUUGGAAACAGGUGCUAAUACCGCAUAAGACCACGACCUGACAUCAGGAUGAGGUCAAAGGAGAAAUCCGCUAGAGGAGGGGCUCGCGUCCCAUUAGAUAGAUGGCGGGGUAACGGCCCACCAUGUCGACGAUGGGUAGCCGAGCUGAGAGGCUGAUCGGCCACACUGGAACUGAGACACGGUCCAGACUCCUACGGGAGGCAGCAGUGGGGAAUAUUGGGCAAUGGGCGCAAGCCUGACCCAGCAACGCCGCGUGAGGGAAGAAGGCCUUCGGUUGUAAACCUCUGUCCUGGUGACGAAACAAAUAGACGGUAGCCAAGAGGAAGCCCGGCGUAACUACGUGCCAGCAGCCGCGGUAAU